rnacentral:rRNA from 1 species
AUUGAACGCUGGCGGCAGGCCUAACACAUGCAAGUCGAGCGAGCGGCGGACGGGUGAGUAAUGUAUGGGGACUGCCCGAUAGAGGGGGAGAACAACUGGAAAAGGUAGCUAAUACCGCAUACUAUAGGAUAACCCAUAUGGGAUUAGCUAGUUGGUGAGGUAAUGGCCCACCAAGGCGACGAUCCCCAGCGGGUCUGAGAGGAUGAUCAGCCACACUGGGACUGAGACACGGCCCAGACUCCUACGGAGGCAGCAGUGGGGAAUAUUGCACAAUGGGCGCAAGCCUGAUGCAGCCAUGCCGCGUGUAUGAAGAAGGCCUUAGGGUUGUAAAGUACUUUCAGUCGGGAGGCGUUACCGACAGAAGAAGCACCGGCUAACUCCGUGCCAGCAGCCGCGGUAAUUC